AUUGAACGCUGGCGGCAGGCCUAACACAUGCAAGUCGAACGGUAACAUUUCUAGCUUGCUAGAAGAUGACGAGUGGCGGACGGGUGAGUAAUACUUGGGGAUGUGCUUACUGGGGAUAACUAUUGGAAACGAUAGCUAAUACCGCAUAAUGUUUACGGACCAAAGGGGGCUUCGGCUCUCGCGUAAAGAGCAACCCAAGCGAGAUUAGCUAGUUGGUGAGGUAAAGGCUCACCAAGGCGACGAUCUCUAGCUGUUCUGAGAGGAAGAUCAGCCACACUGGAACUGAGACACGGUCCAGACUCCUACGGGAGGCAGCAGUGGGGAAUAUUGCACAAUGGGCGCAAGCCUGAUGCAGCCAUGCCGCGUGUGUGAAGAAGGCCUUCGGGUUGUAAAGCACUUUCAGUUGUGAGGAAAGGAAUGUAGUUAAUACCUGCAUUCUGUGACGUUAGCAACAGAAGAAGCACCGGCUAACUCCGUG
rnacentral:rRNA from 1 species